rnacentral:lncRNA from 1 species
AACCACCUGUGCAGAUCAGUCACCGCAGACAUUAAAGGUGAGCAAUUUUCUGGGCCAAUUGUAACAUGUAACUCUGCCUUUGGUGAAACCUUUUACAUUGGGUCUUCUUAUGGUGGAAGUGUUCCAACUAAUGACAGUGAAGUGGAGCAGGAAGCCAAGCAUCCAAGAUUUAGUAGCUAAUACCUGUCAAAUCUCAGCUCCAUGUUGCUUUAGUUCUGCCAUUAUCUAUGUCGCUUAAGUUUAUGUACUUCUCUAGGAUUUCCUUCUGCAUAUCCGAACAUAAUCUUUUCGUUUUUUACCCGUUGGAAAUACAUAACUUACUUUGAG